rnacentral:rRNA from 1 species
GACGAACGCUGGCGGCGUGCCUAACACAUGCAAGUAGGACGCAGUUGCGAACGGGAGAGUAACGCGUAGGUAAAUGCCUAUUAGUGGGGGCUAACUAUUGGAAACGAUAGCGAAUACCGCAUACUAGUAGAUGGACCUGCUUUGUAUUAGCUAGUAGGUAUGGUCAUGGCCUACCUAGGCAACGAUACAUAGCCGAGCGUGGAGGGUGAGCGGCCACACUGGGACUGAGAUACGGCUCAGAAGCCUACGGGCUGGAGCAGUAGGGGUGCUUCGGCAAUGGGGGGAACCCUGACCGAGCAACGGCGGGGGGGUGAAGAAGGUGUUCGGAGAGUAAAGCUCUGUUGUUAAGGAAGCGGUACUUAACCAGAAAGGGACGGCUAACUACGUGCCAGCAGCCGCGGUAAUAC